rnacentral:rRNA from 1 species
AUUGAACGCUGGCGGCAGGCCUAACACAUGCAAGUCGAGCGGAUGAAGGGAGCUUGCUCCUGGAUACAGCGGCGGACGGGUGAGUAAUGCCUAAGAAUCUGCCUGGUAGUGGGGGAUAACGUCCGGAAACGGGCGCUAAUACCGCAUACGUCCUGAGGGAGAAAGUGGUGGAUCUUCGGACUGCACUCUAUCAGAUGAGCCUAGGUCGGAUUAGCUAGUUGGCGGGGUAAAGGCCUACCAACGCGACGAUCCGUAGCUGGUCUGAGAGGAUGAUCAGUCACACUGGGACUGGAACACGGGCCAGACUGCUACGGAGAGCAGCAGUGGGGUAUAUUGGACGAUGGUCGAAAGCCUGAUCCAGCCAUGCCGCGUGUGUGAAGAAGGUCUUCCGAUUGUAAAGCACUUUGAGUUGGGAUGAAGGGCAGUAAGUUAAUACCUUGCUGUUUUGACGUUACCUACAGAAUAAGCACCGGCUAACUUCGUG